rnacentral:rRNA from 1 species
GUUCUUUUGUUUAUAUAAAAGAUCUGACCUGCCCAAUGAUUAUUAUUUAAUGGCUGCAGUAUUUUGACCUGUACAAAGGUAGCAUAAUCAUUUGUCUUUUGAUUGAAGUCUAGAAUGAAUGGUUUGAUGAAAAAUAUAUUUUCUUUAUUUUAUAAUGAAAAUUUAAUCUUUUAGUUAAAAAGCUAGAAUUUGAUUAUAGGACGAGAAGACCCUAUAGAACUUUAUUUUUGAUUUCAUAUGUUUAAUAUGGUAUAUUAUAAAAUAUAUGAAGGUUAAAUUUUGUUGGGGUGACAGAAAAAAUAUAAUAACUUUUUCUAUUUUUUUCAUAUUCAUUGAAUUUUUGAUCCUUUUUUAGGGAUAUAAGAUUAAGUUACCUUAGGGAUAACAGCGUUAUUGUUUUGGAGAGUUCAUAUCGAUAAAAUAGUUUGCGACCUCGAUGUUGGAUUAUAAUAAGAUAUGGGAGUAGAAUAUUAUUUUCUAGGUCUGUUCGACCUUUAAAUUUUUACAU